GAACGAGGUGUGGGCAGUGUAGAAGCCGUCUGUGCCGGAGCAAACGCGAUAAGUUCACCGCCUGGGGAGUACGGUCGCAAGGCUAAAACCCAAAGGAAUUGACGGGGGCCCGCACAAGCAGCGGAGCGUGUGGUUUAAUUCGAUGCAACGCGAAGAACCUUACCUGGGCUUGACAUGUACGUAGUAGUGAAGGGAAACCGGAACGAGCCUUCGGGCAGCGUAGACAGGUGCUGCAUGGCUGUCGUCAGCUCGUGUCGUGAGAUGUUGGGUUAAGUCCCGCAACGAGCGCAACCCGUGUUGCUAGUUACAAGUGUCUAGCGAGACUGCCGGUAACAAGCCGGAGGAAGGUGCGGAUGAUGUCAAGUCAGCAUGGCCUAUAUGUCCAGGGCUACACACACGCUACAAUGGCUGGUACAAAGAGAAGCGAAAGGGAGACCUGAAGCGAAUCUCAUCAAAGCCAGUCAUAGUUCGGAUUGCAGGCUGCAACUCGCCUGCAUGAAGUCGGAGUUGCUAGUAACCGCAGGUCAGCAAUACUGCGGUGAAUACGUUCCCGGGCCUUGUACACAC
rnacentral:rRNA from 1 species